CAGGCCUCCUCCAACAGGAAGCAUCUGGGGAGAGGGCAGGGAGGCGCAAAGACGAGAUGCGGGCUUCCCCCCUCACGCCUGCCCUCUGACCCCGUGGGUGGCGACCCUCCUCUGCCCGGGAGCAGGAGCUCGGACUGGGUUUCGGAGCCGCAUGGCAGAGCUGCUGCGUGGGCUCAGAGGUGCCACCGAAAUCCUCCGGCUGUUCCCCCUGCAUUUCCUCCGAGGCUGCAGAGAGCAGGGCACAGUGCAGAGGUAGGCUCAACAAUCAAAGGCAAGGAAAAAAAAGAAAGAAAAACAAAGUUGAUGAACCCAAUCCAACGGAAGGGAAAAGUGGGGCUGGAGCCCAGAGCACCGAGCGCCGGUCUGCUGGACGCCUUCAGAGGUUCCGCAUUCUCCCCCCCCCCCCCGCUCCUGGGGUUCCGGCACAGCGCCCCGUCCUCUGCCCCGGGCCCUGGGCUUCUCGCCUCCGCUCCCAGGAGCCGGGCCCAGGCAGGCUAUUACAGCCCAAACCUGAUUACGGAAAGUCAUGAGUGAUUUUUGCAUUUACAACAAUUACGGGAUUGAAAGCCAGGCCUCACUCCCUCAGUCAAUUCUCACGCCGGCUUCAAGGGCUCCCCGGGGAAUACGGCUCUAAGGCAGCCCGUGGGAAAGAGCGUCCCUUCCCUGGGUAGCGUGCGGUUUUCAAGUCCCCGUGGGCCCAGCACCAGCCUGAGGAGGCCAAGGAGAAUGACCACCGCAUUGCCCUCCGGUCCCCCCGCUGAGGCCCCAAGGAACCCUGAGACCGGCUGAGACCAGAAAGUUUGGUCUGUCCAGGGCCUCUCAAACAUCCCCCUGGAACCGACCCGAAUCUCUGGAAGGCCUUCAGAGGACAAGAGGUGUCAGACCAGCUCAGGCCCCCAGCACCGAGGGCCCCGUCUUCGGACCGAGGGGCUGUCUGGGCUCAAGCGGUUAGCAGCUGUUGGACGGACGAGGAUGCCACUCAUGUAGAGGCCAACACAAGCCAAGUGCAGAGCCGGGAGGUCGGCCACACUGACCCAGCACCCCGGGCUGGGGGCAGUGGGAGGGGAGGGCCACAGCCUGGUCAGGACCUGGUAUAGUGUCCGUGGGCCUAGUCCAGAGGCGGGCCAUCGGAACUCAGUGAAUGUACUGAAAUACUCCUUGAAGCUGCAGUCAGGGUCUAACUUUGCCGCACUCCAGGCACAGCAGGAUGAUCGCAGGCCUGAUUUGGGUGAGCAGCCCAGGCUGCAGCUGGAGUGUCACGCUGUGUGUGGAGUCCCGUCCGGGUGAAGGCCGGUGAGCACCCGGCCAGGGUCCCCGCAGUGCCGUCAGGGGCACGAACAUGCAUGCAGAAAUGUUCACCGGGGCAAGUGCAUUGGUCACUGCAGACAGAAAGAGGACUCUGUCACCUGACGGACGGCACAGGCUGGGGACACGGGUAAGCGAGCAAUUCCUAUAACGUGCUCAGUUCUAGUAACGGGGACGUACUCGGGACGCGGGGGCCCCGGAGGCUGUCGCCCAGGCGGAGGCGUGGAGGGCGGGGGGAGAAGCGGCACGCAGGAGGAAUGGCCCAAGGGACAGCCGUGCAAGAGCUCAGGGUCCAACGAGAGCACGACGGUGGAGGGAAGUCACAGUGUUCCUUCGCAGGAGUUUGCUGGUCGCUGUGCGGCACCAGGCCAGUUAGCAACAUCUCCACCGGGAGUUUGGCUUCCAUCCUAAAGUGAGCAGCGGCCGUGGGAGAUCUACUGAACGAGGCACAGAGACACCUGCGCUGAGAGAUCCCGGUGCGGGCUGUGUGACAGAGCAGGGAUCCGUCCGCCUCCGGGGCCCUCCGGGGGCCCAGGGCCACACCGCAGGUCGGAAGCCAUCGGUGCACCUGAUCAGCUUGGCCUGAGAUGCC
rnacentral:lncRNA from 1 species